UUUACUACUUAAGUUCUCUCUGUUCCCCAGUGAUAGGCCUUAUAAAUGCUGUGGAAACAGAAACUAUCACCACAUGCAGCAGUGGGAAAAAAAAAAAGAGGAAAAAGCCCUGAGAAACUCAUUUCCUCAACUGGGUGUCAGAAGUUUCAGUAUCAGGCUUGAGUUAGUCGAUCUCCAAGUUAUGUUUCUCCCCUGGGAAUGGACUUUAACUGCAUGUAUUUGGCAAAAUCUCCUCUUAAAGCUGAAAUAAUUUGCAGCUGCUGGUUCUUUCACUCACACUAUAUGGGUAGGAACUCCUGCUACCAUAAACCCUCCAGAUUUUGGACAUAGUAACAGCAUCAGAAAGCAUGGAUUACAAGCAGUUCUCAAAGUCAUCAUUUGGAUGCUUGAGCUGAUCUGUAAAAAUCCCGGUCUGUGUAGAGGCAAACCACACAAGUUGCUCUCUGAAAAUCAAAGGGGCCUAUGUUUGCUUAAAGCACAGGCUGUCGCUGAUUAAAGAUGGGCUUGGCAACUGGAGCAAUGGGACUUGAGGAGGCAAUUCCCUGCUGUGGCAGAAACCCGGAGCCAAAAACCUAGGAGGUCUCUUCCAGAGCUGCCUUGCUUGCAACCAGCUCCUGUUUCUCUCUCGUCUGGGUUCAGCUGGACUGAAGAAGACAUGAACUUCCGUUUUUUGGUGCACAGCAAACCAGGCUAACCUUCGGUUAGAGCACAGCUCUCACUCACAACUAUUAACAAUAAAUAUCAA